rnacentral:rRNA from 1 species
AUUGAACGCUGGCGGAAUGCCUUACACAUGCAAGUCGAACGGCAGCACGGGAGCAAUCCUGGUGGCGAGUGGCGAACGGGUGAGUAAUACAUCGGAACGUGCCCAAUCGUGGGGGAUAACGUAGCGAAGACUACGCUAAUACCGCAUACGAUCUACGGAUGAAAGCAGGGGAGUCGCAAGACCUUGCGCGAAUGGAGCGGCCGAUGGCAGAUUAGGA